AUGGCGGCGGGGCGGCAGCAGCGGGUGGUGGUGAUGCGGCACGGGGACCGGCUGGACCACGCGGAGCCCAUGUGGCCGGCCAACAAGCCGCGGCCGUGGGACCCGCCGCUGACCGACGCCGGCGUCCUCCGGGCCUGGACCGUCGGCAAGCGCAUCCGGGCGCAGGCCGCCGCCGACGGCUACGCGCUCCACCGCGUCCUCGUCUCCCCCUUCCACCGCUGCCUCCAGACCGCCGCCCAGGCCGUCGCCGCGCUCUGCGCCGUCCCCGACGACGCCGCGCUCGCCGCCGUCCUCGACUCCAGCGCCAAUGUGCCCCUCGACACCUCCCGCGUCAAGGUGUCGAUCGAGUAUGGACUGUCUGAGAUGAUGAAUGUUGAAGCGAUGGGCGCUCUUGUCAGCCAGGUCGCGCCCAGUGUCGAGAAGUGGUUCCCUGACCAGGCAGAACUCGAAGCCAUCUUACCACCUGGAACCAUCGACCAUUCUACACAACCGCUCUUCCCAGAGGUACCCAAGUGGGGAGAAUCUGUGAGGGGGGCAAGGAUCAGAUACGCUAGUGUUAUCAAGGCUCUGGCCGACAAAUACCCCAACGAGAACCUACUCUUGGUAACACACGGGGAGGGCGUCGGUUCGUCGGUGGCGUGCUUCGGGGCGACGGGCAUGGAGGUCUACGAGGUGGAGUACUGCGCAUACGCCGUGCUUGAGAAGCAGCCUGGCGGUGUGGGUGGCGGUGAUGAGAGCGUGCUCAAGGUGGUGGCGGAUCGAAGCGGCCCGACCACGGGCAUACACUACCUGGUCACCUGA
rnacentral:rRNA from 1 species